rfam:Mesocricetus auratus contig230956, whole genome shotgun sequence.
GGGCAUAUGGUGAUGAAUGAAAGUCAAUAAGAGAAGUGAUGACACAAAAAUCAUAAUAACAUUACACUUAGUCCC